rnacentral:RNase_P_RNA from 1 species
CCUUAUCGCUUCGAUGUAAAUCGGGGAGGAAAGUCCGGACAACAUAGAGCGCCGUGCUCCCUGAAAGGGGAGGAGAGCAAGAUAAAUUCCUGCUUUACAGAUAGUGCCACAGAAAAUAAACUGCCUCAAUUUCGGUUGAGGUGAGGGUGAAAAGGUGCGGUAAGAGCGCACCGCGCUGUUGGUGACAACAGUGGCAAGGUAAACCUCGCGGGUUGCAAUACCAUGUAUACCGGGGCUUGAGCGCUGCUCGUGCGAUCCCGGAGGGUAGGUAGCGUAGAUAAAUGAUAAGGACUCCUUUAGGAGGACAGAAUCCGGCUUAUAGGCCUGUUUU